ACUAAAUUUCUCUCAAGAUCUUAUGGAACAAUUCUCUAUAUGCUCUUAUUUAUAUAGAACUGAGCACCUCCUUAACCUAUUAUGAAAAAGAAAACUUACAAACUUUAUCUAAAUAUUUCCUGUUUAGAUCCUACUUGUAUUUCUUUUUUCUAUCUCUUCUAACUUCUUCUAGAAGGACAUUACUUAUUCUUCAAGUAACGGAAUUAUCCAACAUCGAGUCAUCUUUAUUAUGACUAAUCUAUGUUAACCACUGAAAACAUGAAUGUACUAAACUAAAUGGUAAAUGACUAAAGCCACUUUCUUGUCUAUUAUUAUUGUUCAAAAGUAUCUUAAUAUCUUAUGGUGUAAGAUAUGUUUUUUUCUUUUAUAAAGGUUAAGAAUAAAGAUGCUUUCUUGUUCUUUAUAUGUUUGGAUUGUUUUUUCGUGGAUAACGAUUCAUCAAAAGAAAAGAUAAAUUUAAAUCUAGGUGCAGGUCUUGUUGAUGUAAUAAGUAACAAAUAAUAAGAGGGGAAGCUGGAAAAUAAUGAGAUAGACUUGUAGAGCAUAACCGGAAUUGGUGAGGGUUGUGAUGGCGGAAUGUGUCAAGCAAGUCAGAGCCUAGGUCAAUAAAAUUCCAGUUGGUUCUUCAACCAAGAUUAAGUAAGGGUCAUGGUCAGGUUGCGAAGAAGUGGUCGUGUUAAUGCUGUUAGGGAAUGAGGUUUUUGGAUUUUACAUUACAAAUCUUGUUCUUGUUAAGAGGUCAACCUUCUCCUAAUCGAGAAGACUUUUCAUUUCAUUCGUCAAGUUCUGGGUCACUUGGUCGAAACUGGGACUGAUUCUACUCGUUUGCCAUGUGGUUAGUGGUUACAUCACAUCAUGCUCCUACAGUUAGUUUGAUUUUUCUUUCACAACAUUUUAAUUAAAACGACAGCGUUUUCGCUAGAAAAGCGACGCCCGUUAGCAGUAUACAACACGGCGACGUUUUGUUAGAUUAAAACGCUGUCGUUUCUACAACACUGCAACGGCAAGUUUUUUGUUAAAACGGUGUCGUUUCGUGGUCUUAAAACGUUGUCGUUUUUUGAUGUUUCACUUGUUUCUCCUCCGGGAUUCACAAACCAAUGUGUGCUUAAUUGGUUUCCUUAGGUUCCAUUGCAGGCUAAAGCGAGAACUUAAUUU